AAAGCACUGAACUCGAGCACUACAUGGAGAACUUGAAGCAUGAAACAGCUAAUAUGGCGAAGAAGAUAGAGAUCCUCGAAAUUUCUAAACGGAAGCUAAUGGGGCAAGGAUUAGGGUCAUGUUCAAUGGAUGAACUAGAAGACAUUGACAGCCAACUGGAGAGGACCCUCAAAAUUAUCAGGGCUAGAAAGACUCAAUUGUUCAAAGAGGAAAUAGAAAGUCUAAAAGCAAAGGAGAGACUAUUGCUCCAACAAAAUGCAAGUUUACGUGAAAAGUGCGGGCUUAGGCCAAUGCUAUCAGAGUCAGCAUCUGCACCCGAACCCAUACCAGCACCACCAUCAACACCACCAGCUCAAUCAAAAGAAAGGGGAAAUUGUAGCCAAAGUACAAAGAGUUGGGAAGUGGAGACUGAAUUGUUUAUUGGCCUUCCUCAAACGCGCUGCUUAUAGUAGCUUGGAUCAGUGGUUGAGCUAGGGUUUUUUUUGGUCAAAGGAAUUUAAACCUCGAAGAAGUACACAGAGAAGGCAAAAUGGGU
rnacentral:misc_RNA from 1 species